GUAGUAUUCCCUCCGUCCCAAAAUUCUUGUCUUACAUUUGUUUAGAUACAGAUGUAUCUAACACUAAAAUGUAACUAGAUACAUCCGUAUCUAGAUAAAUUUAAGACAAGAAUUUUGGGACGGAGGGAGUACAAA
rnacentral:pre_miRNA from 1 species